GAUGAACGCUAGCGGCAGGCCUAACACAUGCAAGUCGAGGGGUAGCAGGAUUAAGCUUGCUUAAUUGCUGACGACCGGCGCACGGGUGCGUAACGCGUAUGCAACCUACCUUAUACUGGGGUAUAGCCCGGAGAAAUUCGGAUUAAUCCCCCAUAGUACUAAUGAAUCGCAUGGUUUAUUAGUUAAAGCAUUGCGGUAUAAGAUGGGCAUGCGUCCUAUUAGCUAGAUGGUGAGGUAACGGCUCACCAUGGCUACGAUAGGUAGGGGGCCUGGGAGGGGGGUCACCCACACUGGUACUAAGACACGGACCAGACUCCUACGGGAGGCAGCAGUGAGGAAUAUUGGUCAAUGGGCGCAAGCCUGAACCAGCCAUGCCGCGUGCAGGAAGAAUGCCCUAUGGGUUGUAAACUGCUUUUAUUUGGGAAUAAACCUCUUUACGUGUAGAGAGCUGAAGGUACCAAAUGAAUAAGCACCGGCUAACUCCGUGCCAGCAGCCGCCGUAA
rnacentral:rRNA from 1 species